rnacentral:rRNA from 1 species
UACGGAGGGUGCAAGCGUUAUCCGGAUUUACUGGGUUUAAAGGGUGUGUAGGCGGACUUUUAAGUCCGUGGUGAAAUCUCCGGGCUCAACCCGGAAACUGCCAUGGAUACUAUAGGUCUUGAAUGUUGUUGAGGUGGGCGGAACGGGUCAUGUAGCGGUGAAAUGCAUAGAUAUGACCCGGAACACCGAUUGCGAAGGCAGCCCACUAAGCAACGAUUGACGCUGAGGCACGAAAGCGUGGGGAUCAAACAGG